rnacentral:rRNA from 1 species
CCAGCUCCAAUAGCGUAUAUUAAAGUUGUUGCAGUUAAAAAGCUCGUAGUUGAAUUUCUGGUUGGAAUUAUACUCGGCUUAGGUCGAUAUAAUUCUCAAUCAUCCGUAUGAGAAACUAACUCGCUCUUCGCGGGGCGGUUAGUGUAUCAUACAUUUUACUUUGAAAAAAUUAGAGUGUUUCAGGCAGGCCAUUGCUGGGAUACACAAGCAUGGAAUAAUGGAAUAGGACUUUGACCUAUUUUAUUGGUAUAUUAGGUCGAAGUAAUGAUUAAUAGGGACAGUUGGGGGCAUUAGUAUUUAAUUGUCAGAGGUGAAAUUCUUGGAUUUAUUAAAGACUAACUUAUGCGAAAGCAUUUGCCAAGGAUGUUUUCA